rnacentral:rRNA from 1 species
UACGUAGGGGGCAAGCGUUGUCCGGAAUCACUGGGCGUAAAGCGCGCGCAGGCGGCCAUUUGCGUCCGGGGUGAAAGCCCAAGGCUCAACCUUGGGAUUGCCUUGGAUACGGGAUGGCUUGAGGAUCGGAGAGGCAAGGGGAAUUCCACGUGUAGCGGUGAAAUGCGUAGAGAUGUGGAGGAACACCUGUGGCGAAGGCGCCUUGCUGGCCGAUUACUGACGCUGAGGCGCGAAAGCGUGGGGAGCAAACAGG